rnacentral:lncRNA from 1 species
AUGGUGAAAUCCUCCCUGUCCAACAUCUUGUUCAUGUCGGGGAGGUUCCCCCUGUAAUUGAGGGGGGGUCCCAUUAAAGGCUGCCCCAUAAGUGCCCCCNUCUCUAUGGGGCAGGGCUUGCUAUGGGGCAGGGCUCUCUAUGGGUCAGGGUCUCUAUGGGGCAGGGCUCUCUGUGGGGCAGGGCUCUCUGUGGGGCAGGGCUCUCUGUGGGGCAGGGCUCUCUAUGGGGCAGGGCUUGCUAUGGGGCAGGGCUCGCUGUGGGGCAGGGCUCACUAUGGGGCAGGUCUCUCUAUGGGUAAGGUCUCUCUAUGGGGCAGGUUUUGCUGUGGGUCAGGUCUCUCUAUGGGGCAGGUCUCUCUAUGGGGCAGGUCUCUCUAUGGGUCAGGUCUCUCUAUGGGUCAGGGUCUCUAUGGGUCAGGGCUCGCUAUGGGUCAGGUCUCUCUAUGGGGCAGGGCUCUCUAUGGGUCAGGAUCUCUAUGGAUCAGGUCU